GCAUCGGUGGUUCAGUGGUAGAAUUCUCGCUUCCCAAGCGUGAGACCCGGGUCCGAAUCCCGGCCGAUGCA